rnacentral:rRNA from 1 species
UACGUAGGGGGCAAGCGUUGUCCGGAUUUAUUGGGCGUAAAGAGCGUGUAGGCGGCCAGGUAGGUCCGUUGUGAAAACUCGAGGCUCAACCUCGAGCUAUCGAUGGAAACCAUCUGGCUAGAGUCCGGAAGAGGAGAGUGGAAUUCCCGGUGUAGCGGUGAAAUGCGCAGAUAUCGGGAAGAACACCCGUGGCGAAGGCGGCUCUCUGGGACGGUACUGACGCUGAGACGCGAAAGCGUGGGGAGCGAACAGG